rnacentral:rRNA from 1 species
CCUACGGGAGGCAGCAGUGGGGAAUAUUGGACAAUGGGGGGAACCCUGAUCCAGCCAUGCCGCGUGUGUGAAGAAGGCCCUCGGGUUGUAAAGCACUUUCAGUGAGGAAGAACGCCUGGUGGUUAAUACCCAUCAGGAAAGACAUCACUCACAGAAGAAGCACCGGCAUAACUCCGUGCCAGCAGCCGCGGUAAUACGGAGGGUGCGAGCGUUAAUCGGAAUUACUGGGCGUAAAGCGCGCGUAGGUGGCUUGAUAAGCCGGUUGUGAAAGCCCCGGGCUCAACCUGGGAACGGCAUCCGGAACUGUCAAGCUAGAGUGCAGGAGAGGAAGGUAGAAUUCCCGGUGUAGCGGUGAAAUGCGUAGAGAUCGGGGGGAAUACCAGUGGCGAAGGCGGCCUUCUGGACUGACACUGACACUGAGGUGCGAAAGCGUGGGUAGCAAACAGGAUUAGAUACCCGUGUAGUC